UUUAGUUUCGGGUUUGGUAGGCUCUUCUGAAUCUUCCUCGGUCUCCGUUUCCUCUUCGGAGCUGGUUUCAGUCUCUUCGUCGUCAGCAGCAGGAGGUGGAGUGGUGUGUGUCUUGUUCUGGAGAAAUCGGCUUUGGAAAGGUUUAGGCGAUGGUGUUUCUUUCGUUGAGCCAGUAGAUGAUAUUUUUCCACGAGCCGGAGAAGGAGAAGUGUCUGUCUUGGAUAAUAUUUUUUGUUUGACUUCUUCAGUGGUGAAUGG